rnacentral:lncRNA from 1 species
AUCUGUAAGGAGCAAAGAAGGCUUAAAGGGCAUCUUAUAGGCUUAAUUUUCAUUUCUAGGAGGAUUUUUUUUCUGUAGGUCAAACAUUUCCCUGGAAAUCUUAUAGUUCUUUUUAAUAUUUCAAAAGGUAACAGUGUCAAUUUUAAUAUUUCAGAAGAAUAAGUUUCCAAUAAAAGAAUAAGGUUACCACAGUAUUUGUAAGAGACAUCACAUUUUAAAUUCAAAUUUCUAAUAAGAAUCAGUGAUACUUUUGGUUAGUCACAAUCAAUUAGAAAUGUAUCAUCAAGCAUGAUGCCCACCUCUGUAACCAAAUGAAGGUCUUCUCAUUCACUUCUAGAUUCUUUGCCAAACUAUGAGUUGUUGUCUGACAAUUGUAAAUCAACUAUUGUAUUGUUAUUGCCGAGACUGACAAACAGAUUUAGCCUGUGUUUCUGUACGUAUUCUGUGCAUUUUCUGAAGCAGGAUCUGUGUUCAUAUUCUUUACAUCUUGAUUCUCUGCAAUAACCACAAUCUCUCAGCAUAUAAGUUUCUCUUUCUCUGCACAAAGGAAUGGUCAAAAAUAAUUGCCAGUUAUUUCUUUUGUUCAGGCACUGUGUUUGAAUCUAGAGAAGCAAAAACAUGUAAGGAACAGAGCUGAGUGUCCAGGGAAGGCACAGCUGAGAAAACGAUCUUUGGUUGUACAAUACAGAUGUCAUAACCAUAGAAAUAGCAACACUGUAGUAGAACAUCUGGCUGCAUUUAACCCAG